rnacentral:lncRNA from 10 species
CGCACACGUCCUGUGCCCGCUACCCAGAUUUCGGGGAAGGUGAGGGGUGUGGUUCUGUGCCAUCCCUUUUUCUUUUCCGUCCCUGCUGUCUUCCCAAAUAGAUCGUCAAGGCUCUACAGCAAGGUCCUCAGGGAGCCCCAUGUUGUCAAAUCCAGGAGAGACAGUCCCAUCAUUAUUUCAAACCACCAUUCAGUACUGCUGACCCAGUGGGCCACUCCAGCCUUCUCACCACCCCUCCUCCCUUGAUCCUGUCAACACCACCUGCCUACCUCCCUGGCCACACACCUUCCUGGUCUCCGCCUUUUUCUCCUCCCUUUGGCGUGCUCCACCACUUGCUGGGCUGUCUCCUCCCCUCCCAAGGUGUCAACUGCCACCCUUGAAGCAGGGAUCUCCACUUGUUCCUGCCUCUCCUUUAUACUGGCCUGCACACCCACUAACUCCCAACUGGCCCUCAGGAGGCCCACUCUCAACAUGGCGAGAAGAGACUGCCCUCGCCCAGCUGUCCCCAGGAGGGCUGGCCAGGUGGCUGCCACCUGCAUACUGAGGUCGGUGCCCAGCUUCCAUUGGCUCACCAUGAGCCCCAUGUAAAGCUAGUUUACGCUCAUGAUUUCAGCUCUAUUCUGUCUGCAUAUAACGUGGAAAUCUCUUGAGCCCUAAUCACUCUCUCAAACCUCAAUCACAAACCUUAAAAUACCUCCCUCCUGGAAAUUUUGACUUCAAUGCCUACGAAUAAACUCGUCAAAUGAGUUCACU